rnacentral:rRNA from 1 species
UACGUAGGGUGCAAGCGUUGUCCGGAAUUAUUGGGCGUAAAGAGCUCGUAGGCGGUCAGGCAAGUCGGGUGUGAAAGCCCUGGGCUCAACCUGGGAAUUGCAUUCGAAACUAUCUGACUCGAGUAUGGGAGAGGGAAGCGGAAUUUCCGGUGUAGCGGUGAAAUGCGUAGAUAUCGGAAGGAACACCAGUGGCGAAGGCGGCUUCCUGGACUAAUACUGACGCUGAGGUGCGAAAGCGUGGGGAGCAAACAGG